GAGUAGGGUUAGGGUUAGGGUAGGGUUAGGAGUAGGGUUAGGGUAUUCCUAACCCAACCCUAACCCUACUCCUAAACCAACCCUAACCCU